rnacentral:RNase_P_RNA from 1 species
CUGGGAAGAUAGGCAAUCGCCGUCGCCACUGGUGCGAGGGAGGAAAGUCCGGACUUUAUAGGAGUGGAUACCAGUGAAAUACUGGGGGCCGUAAGGCUACGGAAAGUGUAACAGAAAGUAAGCCGCGACAGCAUAGCUUGCUAUGCUGUCGACAGGAUGAAACGCCGGUUUUAGGAACCGGCCCCAUUCAAGGUGACUUGAAGGGCGACAAACCCUAUCCGAAGCAAGACCGAUAUGGAGCAAUACAGUUCUCCACUGUGCUCCUUGCAGGUCGCUUGAGGGUUCCGGCGACGGAACCCCUAGAUGAAUGAUUGCCGGCUGAUGCAUUAGCAUCAACGACAGAAUCCGGCUUAACGUCUUCCCAGUCUU